rnacentral:lncRNA from 1 species
GUGCCACAGGGAAGAGAAAUGAUAACCAGAAAUUUGUAUUUCUAGCUAGUACUAUUUAACACAACUUCACAAUACUAAAACAAAUACAAAUAAGAAAGGGUUAGGUAGUUGGGCUUCAUUUACUUUUUUCCUUUUCUUUUUUUUUUUAAUAUCUCAAAAAGGAAGCCACUUGCUUGAUAUCAAAAGUGCUGUGGAAAGAAAGGAGGGGAAAAAAACCCACAAAUAAAUGUAGAAUCUAGUUUAUUUUACCAAACUGUAUAUUUUUCCACUUAACAUUUCUACAUUAGCAAUGAUGUAACUCUCCAACAUUUCCUUAUAAAAAAGGCAAACAAGAAGUGACAACUCAUGCUCCAAAUAUUAAAAAAUAUAUUUAAACAUAUGAUCAAGAAGAUUUGGGCCGUGAGUGGUAGCUCACAUCUGUAACCCCAGGAUUUUGGGAGGCUGAGGCAGGCGGAUCACCUGAGGUCAGGAGUUCGAGACCAGCCUGACCAACACGGCGAAACCCCAUCUCUACUAAAAAUACAAAAAAAUUGCCAGGCGUGGUGGUACACACCUGUAAUCCCAGCUACUCG